rnacentral:lncRNA from 1 species
CUCCCCUUGGAUAAAUGUGCCAUGCCGUGGAAGAUACUAUGAUUUAUUUCCAUGAAAGAAGGUAUGACGUCACAGUGCUGCAUUAUGAUGUCAUUCAGGAUCCCUGAGAUGCCAGCCAAGCGCGAGCUCUUGUUUUGAAUACAAAUAUCCUGCUAAUGAGGAAUUUUGGCAGGGAGAAGAAGGAAGCCACUCCAAAUAAGAUAAAUGUGGCAGACAGAGGGCCAAAUUUUGCAUGGAGAUCUUGAAUAUUCUGCAGGAUGUUCAGCCAAAGCCUGUCUCUUAGUUUUUCAGUAAUGAUAGGUGACAAGGCCUGGGAAGUCCAAAGUGCUUUCCAUAUGUACCUCACCCAUCCGAUGUGUUACCCACACUUGAAGAAAGGAUUGAAAAUAUGCCAAGCCAGGGAGUGUGUUAGAUGUCUGAUGGGAUCCUGUUAUUUUAUUCUGGUCAACACAUUGCUCUGGUUUGUACCCAGUAUUUAGGGCAUCAAUACUAGAACAUAGCAAAAUGCCUUUCACUUAGGUUUUGUUAAAAUGAAAAACCCUUCCAGUGCACCCACUCAUUUCACUCCAGCUCUAAGACAAAAAAAAAAAAACAAAAAAAAAAAAAAAAAAAAAAAAAAAAAAAAAAGGCUGCACAAGCAAACAACUCUCCCCAGACCAAGGGACGAA